UACGAAGGGGGCUAGCGUUGUUCGGAAUUACUGGGCGUAAAGCGCGCGCAGGUGGGUGAACAAGUCGGAAGUGAAAUCUUGAGGCUCAACCUCGAGGCUGCUCCCGAAACUGUUCGCCUAGGGACUGGUAGAGGGAUGUGGAAUACCCGGUGGAGCGGUGAAAUGCGUAGAGAUCGGGUGGAACACCAGGGGCGAAGGCGGGUCUCUGGGCAGUAACUGACGCUGAGGAGCGAAAGCGUGGGUAGCGAACAGG
rnacentral:rRNA from 1 species